CGAUGUGAGGGCGAUCUGGCUGCGACAUCUGUCACCCCAUUGAUCACCAGGGUUGAUUCGGCUGAUCUGGCUGGCUAGGCAGGUGUCCCCUUCCUCCCUCACCGCUCCAUGUGCGUCCCUCCCGAAGCUGCGCGCUCGGUGGAAGAGGACGACCAUCCCAGAUAGAAGGAGUGUACCGUUCUUCGGUCAAGGGUAUACGAUAGCUGCGCUCCCCUGCUAGAACAUACUUUCAUUUUUAAAUAAUGGUGGUGGGAGGAAAGAGAAGUCCUUCGCUUCACUUUAACUUCAGCAACCAGCUGCUUAGCUUUAAG